GAUUUGGUCGCGACCAAAACAAAAUUUGCCCGAUAUAAACUAGGGUUUGCGAGAGAAUUGGCAAUUUUGUUGGAGAGAAAUUUCGGAGUGGGUAUUUGCGAUUGGAGUGAGGAUUUGCAACAGAAGGUUAACCAAUCUUGUCGCCCUUCUUAUCCGAUAAUGCCGAUAAGCUAUUCCGAGUCAUUAUCAGAAGCACUAGAGGAAGACUUGGUUUGGGCGUACGGUGAUGCAAACUGGGGGGUACCUGAGAAAUGUUUCUGUGGACGCCAGUAGAGACUUGAAGAUACAAGGAGUCCUGGCCGCAAGUACUUUGUAUGUCCUGACUGGGUUGACGAGUCAACCUACCAGCAUAUCUUCAAAUGGUGGGACGAGGCAGUGACAGAACAACUCGGAAUUGUGGGGAGAAAGGUGGACGCGCAAAGACAGGACGUGAUGAGGGGUCAGGCGUAUGAUCCGACCAUUGAAGAAGUCAAGGCAGAAGUGAGGGUGCUUGUAGGAGAAGUAGCAAGAUUGAAGGACCAAAUUGCAUCACAAGGUGAAAGCUAUUUGUUGCUUUGUUCUCUUUGUGUCUUUGCUGCCAUUUCUUACAUGUUUAAGUAG